CGAGUGAAGCGGCAAAAGCUCAAAUUUGAAAUCUGGCUCUUUCAGAGUCCGAGUUGUAAUUUGAAGAAGGUAUCUUUGGGUCUGGCUCUUGUCUAUGUUUCUUGGAACAGAACGUCACAGAGGGUGAGAAUCCCGUGCGAUGAGAUGAUCCAGGCCUAUGUAAAGUUCCUUCGAAGAGUCGAGUUGUUUGGGAAUGCAGCUCUAAGUGGGUGGUAAAUUCCAUCUAAAGCUAAAUAUUGGCGAGAGACCGAUAGCGAACAAGUACAGUGAUGGAAAGAUGAAAAGAACUUUGAAAAGAGAGUGAAAAAGUACGUGAAAUUGUUGAAAGGGAAGGGCUUGAGAUCAGACUUGGUAUUUUGUAUGUUACUUCUUCGGGGGUGGCCUCUACAGUUUAUCGGGCCAGCAUCAGUUUGGGCGGUAGGAGAAUUGCGUUGGAAUGUGGCACGGCUUCGGUUGUGUGUUAUAGCCUUCGUCGAUACUGCCAGCCUAGACUGAGGACUGCGGUUUAUACCUAGGAUGUUGGCAUAAUGAUCUUAAGUCGCCCGUCUUGAAACACGGACCAAGGAGUCUAACGUCUAUGCGAGUGUUUGGGUGUAAAACCCGUACGCGUAAUGAAAGUGAACGUAGGUGGGGGCCCGUAUGGGUGCACCAUCGACCGAUCCUGAUGUCUUCGGAUGGAUUUGAGUAAGAGCAUAGCUGUUGGGACCCGAAAGAUGGUGAACUAUGCCUGAAUAGGGUGAAGCCAGAGGAAACUCUGGUGGAGGCUCGUAGCGGUUCUGACGUGCAAAUCGAUCGUCGAAUUUGGGUAUA
rnacentral:rRNA from 1 species